CAUCCAGACUCCUACGGGAGGCAGCAGUGGGGAAUAUUGCACAAUGGGGGAAACCCUGAUGCAGCAACGCCGCGUGAGUGAAGAAGUAUUUCGGUAUGUAAAGCUCUAUCAGCAGGGAAGAAAAUGACGGUACCUGAGUAAGAAGCCCCGGCUAACUACGUGCCAGCAGCCGCGGUAAUACGUAGGGGGCAAGCGUUAUCCGGAUUUACUGGGUGUAAAGGGAGCGUAGACGGCGAUACAAGUCUGAAGUGAAAGCCCGGGGCUCAACCCCGGGACUGCUUUGGAAACUGUGUUGCUGGAGUGCUGGAGAGGCAAGCGGAAUUCCUAGUGUAGCGGUGAAAUGCGUAGAUAUUAGGAAGAACACCAGUGGCGAAGGCGGCUUUCUGGACUGAAACUGACGCUGAGGCACGAAAGCGUGGGGAGCGAACAGGAUUAGAUACCCGUGUA
rnacentral:rRNA from 1 species